CCUACGGGGCGCAGCAGUGAGGAAUAUUGGUCAAUGGCCGUAAGGCUGAACCAGCCAAGUCGCGUGAAGGAAGAAGGAUCUAUGGUUUGUAAACUUCUUUUAUAGGGGAAUAAAGGUAUCCACGUGUGGAUAUUUGCAUGUACCCUAUGAAUAAGCAUCGGCUAACUCCGUGCCAGCAGCCGCGGUAAUACGGAGGAUGCGAGUGUUAUCCGAUUUUAUUGGGUUUAAAGGGUGCGUAGGUUGUUUUUUAAGUCAGCGGUAAAAGUUUGGGGCUAAACCAUAAAAUUGCCGUUGAAACUGGAGAUCUUGAGUGUGUUGGGGGUAGGCGGAAGGGUGGGUGUGGCGGUGAAAUGCAUAGAUAUCA
rnacentral:rRNA from 1 species